rnacentral:misc_RNA from 1 species
UCCGAGUUGUCCCCGGCAGUCUCCUUAGAGUCCCCACCAUUACGCGCUGGCAACUAAGGACAAGGGUUUCGCUCGUUAAGCGACUUAACGCGACAUCUCACGACACGAGCUGACGACAGCCAUGCAGCACCUGUGCAAAGGCUCCCCGAAGGGCACCCCGGGCUUUCACCCAGGUUCCUAAGCAUGUCAAGACUAGGAUAAGGUUCUUCGCGUAGCCUCGAAUUAAGCCACAUCCUCCACCGCUUGUGUGAGCCCCCGUCAAUUCCUUUGAGUUUCAGCCUUGCGGCCGUACUCCCCAGGCGGGGCACUUAAUGCGUUAGCGCCGGCACCCAGGGGGUCGCUCCCCCAGGCACCUAGUGCCCAUCGUUUACGGCGUGGACUAC